rnacentral:rRNA from 1 species
UAGGGAAUCUUCCGCAAUGGACGCAAGUCUGACGGAGCAACGCCGCGUGAGUGAAGUAGGAUUUCGGUUCGUAAAACUCUGUUGUUAGAGAAGAACAGCGCAUAGAGUAACGGUUAUGCGUGUGACGGUAUCUAACCAGAAAGCCACGGCUAACUACGUGCCAGCAGCCGCGGUAAUACGUAGGUGGCAAGCGUUGUCCGGAUUUAUUGGGCGUAAAGCGAGCGCAGGCGGUCAAUUAAGUCUGAUGUGAAAGCCCCCGGCUCAACCGGGGAGGGUCAUUGGAAACUGGUUGACUUGAGUGCAGAAGAGGAGAGUGGAAUUCCAUGUGUAGCGGUGAAAUGCGUAGAUAUAUGGAGGAACACCAGUGGCGAAGGCGACUCUCUGGUCUGUAACUGACGCUGAGGCUCGAAAGCGUGGGUAGCAAACAGG